AUAGACAGAUACACAAAUAAUACGAACAUCAUUUCAUCCUAGAAGACCAACGAAUAGACAUGCAUUGUCAGAUACACAAAUAAUACAAACAACCCAUGAACAUAAUUACAGAAGGUAUGGUACAAGGUAGUAAACAAUUAACAUUGUAUGAUAACCUCAGGGUGAAGCAAAAUGGUAGAGGAGGAUUUGGAAAUGAGCCAAUCGGGAAUAACCUAAUAUGGCUCAAUCCCAACAUGUCAACCUAAUGUUGUGAGGUAGGUAGGCACAGUAGGAAAAGGGGACUCCAAAUUCGUCCAGUCCAGCACCACUUGUAUGAAUAGAAACUGACCAUGCAGGAAUUAAAACCAAAUAACACGGUGAGGUUAAUUGGGAGAUUUAAUUGUAGAUUAAAACGUUAGCUGCCUGCUCGGAGGCUAAGUCCUCGGCACCAUUGAAGCUGAUGGGAUUACGGUGACUUAGACAAUGGGUGUUCUAGCAACUUCAGUAUAAACCUGCACAGUUACAUGAAGGAAUAAGAAUAAGUCUUUCCCAUCCACUAUUUAAUUAACGGGAUCCAUGGUGCUUAAUAAGGCCACACCAUGAGGGGAUGAUCUGGAUCGUACUACUAUGAACAAAAAAAGCCUGAUUAACUGAGUCAGGGGAGAGGGGAUUGAACCAGUCACAUCAGGCGCACCGGGGAUGGCCGCAUCAGGUGCAUCCUAUGUCGUCGGCAUGAUGAGAGCACAACAACGGCAUGAGGGAGUUCCUCUGGCUCUUGAAGGCCUUAAUGGCGGCAGUGAGGAGACUGGUGAAGGCUAGCGAGCUUCUCUUCCCAAUCCCUUUGGAACUGAGCCCGCGCCGGAGAUGGCCUUGUCCGAUCCAUCCAAGGCCGCUGGCGCGAGGACGGUCCUUAGCAGAGCAAGGAAAUGAGGUUGCUCCUCCUGCUUUGACCACAGGAAUGGUGAGGUCGCCUGUGCGAGGACAGCUUGGAGUAUAGCAGCGUCGGAAGGGGGCUCCUGUGGCUAUGACCGCCGGCGAGGGAGACGAUUGGGGGCAGAUGGAUC
rnacentral:lncRNA from 1 species